rnacentral:rRNA from 1 species
AACGAACGCUGGCGGCAUGCCUAACACAUGCAAGUCGAACGAGACCUUCGGGUCUAGUGGCGCACGGGUGCGUAACGCGUGGGAAUCUGCCCUUAGGUUCGGAAUAACUUCGGGAAACUGAAGCUAAUACCGGAUGAUGACGUAAGUCCAAAGAUUUAUCGCCUAAGGAUGAGCCCGCGUUGGAUUAGCUAGUUGGUGAGGUAAAGGCUCACCAAGGCGACGAUCCAUAGCUGGUCUGAGAGGAUGAUCAGCCACACUGGGACUGAGACACGGCCCAGACUCCUACGGGAGGCAGCAGU